UACGUAGGGCGCAAGCGUUGUCCGGAAUUAUUGGGCGUAAAGAGCUCGUAGGCGGCUUGUCACGUCGGUUGUGAAAGCCCGGGGCUUAACCCCGGGUCUGCAGUCGAUACGGGCAGGCUAGAGUGUGGUAGGGGAGAUCGGAAUUCCUGGUGUAGUGGUGAAAUGCGCAGAUAUCAGGAGGAACACCGGUGGCGAAGGCGGAUCUCUGGGCCAUUACUGACGCUGAGGAGCGAAAGCGUGGGGAGCGAACAGG
rnacentral:rRNA from 1 species